rnacentral:sRNA from 1 species
AUUUUUAGUCUUUAUGUUAUUUCUCGAGUCUUUUUAGGGUCGUUUCAGGUUAUCUAUGCAAUGGGACAACAAUGGAGAUGAGGAGACAUUUUGGAGCAAAACCUAAAGAAAAGGAAGGUAAGGACGAUUUCGGAUUCCGGAUUCAGAGAGAGUGUCGAUCGACACACUCCUGGUGUCGAUCGACACCAGUUUCGGCUCAGCAAAGUCCGUGACGCUUUCAAAUUUACAGAAGUGGAAAUUUGCUCCAGAAGACUUCCCUAUAUGCAUUAUUAGUCCUUGGACGUUUUAUAAGGUUUAUAUAUAGUUUUAGAGGUCAUGGUUUAGACCUAAGUUCCUUUUAUCAAG